rnacentral:rRNA from 1 species
AUGCACGCUGGCGGCGUGCCUAAUACAUGCAUGUCGCGCGAACGGACGAGAAGCUUGCUUCUCUGAUGUUAGCGGCGGACGGGUGAGUAACACGUGGAUAACCUACCUAUAAGACUGGGAUAACUUCGGGAAACCGGAGCUAAUACCGGAUAAUAUUUUGAACCGCAUGGUUCAAAAGUGAAAGACGGUCUUGCUGUCACUUAUAGAUGGAUCCGCGCUGCAUUAGCUAGUUGGUAAGGUAACGGCUUACCAAGGCAACGAUGCAUAGCCGACCUGAGAGGGUGAUCGGCCACACUGGAACUGAGACACGGUCCAGACUCCUACGGGAGGCAGCAGUAGGGAAUCUUCCGCAAUGGGCGAAAGCCUGACGGAGCAACGCCGCGUGAGUGAUGAAGGUCUUCGGAUCGUAAAACUCUGUUAUUAGGGAAGAACAUAUGUGUAAGUAACUGUGCACAUCUUGACGGUACCUAAUCAGAAAGCCACGGCUAACUACGUG